rnacentral:rRNA from 1 species
GAGAGAGAAAAGGAAAUAAAAAAGCGAAGGAGGGCUGCCAGGUAGCCAGCCAGCUUCCCCUCUCCUCUCUUCCCCCAAUUCGCCCUCAAAUCCGCCGCCCCGCAUUUCCCGAGCCCCCCCCGCAGAUCUGGGACCCGACCCCGCCGGAUCGCCGCGCCGCUGCGGGACUCGCGCGAUCCGAUCCCGCCGCACCCAGCCGCCAAGUUGGCGCCGCAGCGGAGGUCGCAGCGCCUCGCCGGCGGCGGCGCGGGGUCCGCCGCCGCCGCCGCGGGUGCCGGAGGGGCGUCCGCGCAGGCCGCCGACAUGGGGGACUCGAGCGACGCCGUCAUGGCGCGGUGGCUGCAGUCCGCGGGGCUGCAGCACCUCGCGGCUUCGUCGGCGGGCCCCGCCGGGGACCAGCGCGGCGCCGGCGUGGGGGGCCUUGGAGGCGGCGCCGGAGGAGCGGGCAUGCUUCCGAGUCUGCUCAUGCAGUCAGUUGAAGAGAAACAAAGGCUAUAUAUGCUGCUGAGGAACUUGAAUUUUAACGGAGAAUCUUUGCCUGCAUCAGUCUCUGAGCCCUAUACACCAACUGCUCAGAAAUUUGGCAGUGGGACUUCCGCAGAGGGUCUGUAUUCACCUGAACUUAGAGGUGAACUUGGAGCUGGUCUUCUGGAUCUCCAUGCUAUGGAUGACACUGGACUUCUUUCUGAGGAUGUAGAUUCAGAACCAUUUGAGCCUUCACCCUUUAUGCCAAAGGAAAUUGAUGAUGAUGAGGAUGAUAUGAUAACAGGAAACCAGCUAGGUCCAGCUGAUAACUAUAAUGCAGUGACGAGUGAAAAGGAGAUCAAUACUAGAGAAAAUAAUGUAGCGAAGAUCAAAGUUGUGGUAAGAAAGAGGCCCCUGAACAGAAAAGAGUUAUCUCGAAAGGAAGAUGAUGCUGUAGCUGUGCAUGAUUCAUCUUCUUUGACAGUUUAUGAACCUAAGCUGAAGGUCGACUUGACAGCUUAUGUGGAGCAGCAUGAAUUUUGUUUUGACGCUGUCCUGGAUGAGGAUGUUUCUAAUGACGAGGUGUAUCGCGAGACAGUGGAACCCAUUAUACCAAUAAUAUUCCAGAGAACCAAAGCAACAUGUUUUGCUUAUGGACAAACAGGUAGUGGGAAGACAUACACAAUGCAACCUUUGCCUCUGAGGGCUGCUCAAGACAUGAUUCGUCUUUUGAAUCAACCUGUCUACCGGAAUCAAAAUUUUAAGCUGUGGCUCAGCUACUUCGAGAUAUACGGUGGGAAACUCUAUGAUCUUCUAUCAGACAGAAGACACUUACUGAUGAGGGAGGAUGGCAAGAAACAAGUUUGCAUAGUCGGUCUGCAGGAAUUUGAGGUUUCUGAUGUCCAGGUUGUCAGGGAAUAUAUUGAGAGGGGAAAUGCAGCAAGGAGCACAGGGUCUACAGGGGCCAAUGAAGAGUCAUCGAGGUCACAUGCCAUUCUGCAACUGGCUGUGAAGAAGCAUAUUAUAGUAACUGAAACUAGGAGACAAAGGGACAGGGAUGCCAAUGAAGCUAAAAACACGAAGGCAGUGGGAAAAAUAUCUUUUAUUGAUCUUGCUGGAAGCGAACGUGGCGCUGAUACAACAGAUAAUGAUAGGCAGACAAGAAUUGAAGGUGCAGAGAUAAACAAGAGCCUCCUUGCUCUGAAGGAAUGCAUCCGGGCCCUUGACAAUGAUCAGAUACACAUUCCUUUCAGAGGAAGCAAGCUCACAGAGGUUCUCCGUGACUCAUUUGUUGGCAACUCUAGGACGGUGAUGAUUUCUUGCAUUUCUCCCAAUGCAGGUUCAUGUGAACACACGUUAAAUACAUUGAGAUAUGCCGAUAGGGUUAAAAGUCUUUCAAAGGGUGGCAACACAAGAAAGGAGCAGUCUACUGCACCAACUAUUCCUUCCAUGAGGGAGUCUUCAUCUGCUCCAUCCUAUCCUUUAUCUGUUGAGGCCGAAGAAGUACCCAACCAGAUCCAGGAGAAGAGACCUGUCGAUAUAUCUAGGAGAGGCGCUGAAAAUUUUACCUCCAACUCUUCGAUGGAGCCUGACAGGAAUAACUUUAGUAUGAUCCCAAGUUAUUCUAAUAGAGGAAAAGAGGAAAACGGUGCAUCUGGUUUGAAUGAUAGGGAGAGGGUUGAUUUUAGUUCUGGCCGAACUGUUUACAACAGUAAAGCACAGUUAAUUCAGAAUUCAGCAAAUGCACAAGAGGAUGAAAAGGUUACCAGAGUCUCACCUCCCAGGAGGAAGGUCAUAAGGGAAGACAAAUCUGAAAAGCAGAACUACAUGAAAAAGGAUAGUGGAAUUGAGGCAAGUCGGCCUGGAUAUAAGGUUCAGCAGGUAAGGCAGUUGCAACAGCAGCAACGACCAACAUCUGCUUCAGCUUCUCAGGUUUCGUCAAGGCAAUCUGAAAAAGAAAGUUCAUGCGAUGAUGUGGAGAUAGAUGCCAUUCUUGAGGAAGAGGAGGCCCUCAUUGCAGCUCACAGGAAGGAAAUCGAGAAUACAAUGGAGAUCGUGCGCGAAGAGAUGAACCUUUUGGCAGAAGUUGACCAACCAGGCAGCCUUAUUGACGACUAUGUGACACAAUUGAGCUUUCUUCUGUCACGCAAGGCUGCAGGCUUGGUCAGCCUCCAAGCGCGCCUUUCAAGGUUUCAACAGCGCCUCAAAGAGCAGGAGAUCCUUAGCCGUAAGAAAUCAUCCAGAUAGCUGGUCAUCGCUCAUUGACUCCGGCCUUUUGCCUGCUCAGUAAAUUUACAGGAGCUUGACCGCAUUUCUUGAGAUGUUUCUCUUCUGUGGUCUCCUGUAAUGUUGGACCUGAGCAAGGAGCUAAAGAAGACACCGCAUUGGCUCAGGACUGGGUGAGUUGACUGGUUGAUGCCAUUUCGUACUCGGUUGUCAGGUUUGAUCACUAGUUUGUGAGUAGUCCUCCUCACAGUUUGGCUGCACGGGCUUGUUUUUUUUCCGGCAGAUACAUGGCUUGCUCUCAAUGCCGUUUUCCUUUGUAUGAGGAGACGUCCGACGUAACUGUUUGCAGAUAUGGAUGGGUUGAUUUUUGGCAGCGGCUCCUGUACUAUUGUGGACACACAUACAUUAUUGUUGUAUUCUUUACUGAUAUUGUUUUCGUCGACAAAUGAAAAUGUGUGUUUGUGUGUGUGUGGCAAGGACUUGAAAGUUUUCUCCCCAUUGUGCCCAGUGAAAAUUUCAGACAGGUAUGAUUAUGAAUGUUUGUGACUAGUGAUCUGCGAAGUGUGCACAACUGAAUUUGAGUUGUCAUUUGUGUUCUUGUGAGUUAGCGCAUCACAAAAUAAUGCUGUUGUAUCUGGCUUUGUACAUUAGAUCU